CUUGAACCCAGAGGAAGGAGUAUUCAUUAAUGAGACCAUUACAGAUACUGCGUUGAUUCGUAUCGACAGCCCUGGCUUUGCUGUACAUAUUAGUUGGAGAGGUACCGACGGUUCAACGGCUCCAGUGUACGGAAUGAAUUUGUCGUUACGGUACAACUGUUGAAUACUGCGACGAUGUCACUACGCACCAGGCCGCUUCCCACCGCUUUGCAGGACAAACAACUGUGCUACUUUAGUGAGUAUCUUACGGGACUAGGAAGCCAACUCAUCUUCCAGUAUGUGCGCUCUGAUGGAAUGAUCGAAACUAUCGCGUGGAAUGUAUCCAGACAAACUUGGCGAACACUGGUCUGGAAUACUACCGAACAAACGUGCAGCGUAGUAAAUCCUCACAAUGGAGGCCCCGCGUGAUUUUUCGGUGUCCUGUCGGCAUGGGGAACGUGGUGUAUUUCUAGGCGAAGAAUAACGGACUGGCUAUGAUGGAUACUUCCGAUGGCAGUGUGCUAGUCAUCUCAAACACCCUCAUUUACCGAACAGAUACGAUCUAUUUCCGCUGGAAUACCAAUAAAAGAUAAAAUAUUGUAUUUGGUAUCUACAUCUGAUUCUACAUAUUUUUUAUCAGCUCCGUCACUAAGCCUUAUCUGCUUCAGUACGGUGACGGAUGAUUGGGAAAAUUUUGGAAAAUUAGCGGGCGCUGAUCGCAGAACGAAUUUCGCCAUGGUGGAGCUGCAAGAAAAAAUCUACGUGCUAGGUGGCUUAUUGGAGGAUGGGAAAGCCGUAACGGGAUCCUGUCUAAGAUUUAAUAUAGCGACGCGUUCUUGGACAUCUAUAGGAGCGCUUCUAGGGAAACGGUACAAUCACUGUGCAUUCGUGACCAAUGAGUUCAUACAAGUAUUUGGUGGGAAAAGCUCCGUGGAAGACGAAUCAUCUGUGGGAAAUCUAUUGGGUGGUAAAUGGCGGAGCGAUCAUGCACCACUGCCAAUGGAAAGUUAUGACGCGGAAAAAAAUGUGUGGAAGGAAGUUGGGUUUGUUAGUAGUGGGAGUUUGCAGUGCACCAACCAGCGUUUCGGUACAACUCAGUACAACACAAGCAGCUGAUUUUUAAAGCAUAAUUACCAUCAUCACAAAAGCCGGCAGGAUGUCUUUUUAAUAUACGGGCAUCUUAAGUAAGCGCCUGCGCGAUUCUGAAUUUACACCAUCAGCUACAAUGGAGUCGCACGCACCGGGAGAUACGUAUUAUCGUGCAACCGCUACAUUGGCCACAAUAAAUUUAUUUAUUGGAUCAAUCGUCUUACUUGCAGCAGGUCUGCCUCAAGUACUGACCGAACAAAGCCACAUCGUUUACACGCCAAUAGUCCUGGGAGCUUGGCUUAUCGUCUCUAGUCUUAUUGGUGUUUUUGGGUUGUGCUGCAACCACCAAAGUUGCCCCGGUACUUUAGCCCCCUCCUUCGGCAGCCGCCGUAAUGCUGGUCGAUGGUUUGUACACACGUACAUCGCAUUCACAGUCAUGAGCAUCUUUCUGGCGGUUGGCGCUGUUAUAUGUACAUGGUGCUGUCGCUUUGGCGCUGUCCGAAACGUCUAGCAUUAUUGGCGGUAAUCUGGCAAUUGCCUUUGGAAUAUUUUCUGAUAUUUUUGAAAUUUCUGUUAUCAUCCAUGCGGUCAGGAUUAUCCGUCCAAUGACUGCGCCUGGUAUAACGCCAAUGGGAUCUGCCCCGUGCGCGCCUCAAAGCGUACUUCUACUGAUCAGCGGUUAUCAUCCACCGGCUACGGGGCAGUCUAUGCUGACAGAAAUGUUGUCUCCAAACAUUUAUCCGUAUAUGCACAUGCACAAGAUCAGAUCACCACGGACAACGAGCAGCUCUCGGAGGUCCUUCGCGAUCGUGGCACUGUUCCACAAGUUACCGGAUUUUUCAGCAUGAUCACAACUGCUAGCGCCCUCCCGGAAAAAGUGAGAUCGUAGCGUGUUGCGUUGAUAUGACUCCACAUAUCAACGGAGCACGUUAGUAUGUCCGCUCUCGCAUUGGCCUGUCGAGCAUCUAUCCGCUCUGUGAGUGGCCACGUUUCACCCAACCGUAUUUGCGCAAAACCACUAGGCGUGAUCAUAAGAAAGACGCUAAUUGGCUCAAUAUUAACCAAUUGGGAAAUUAAUAGCCAAAUGGCACGGCAUUUUA